UACGUAGGGGGCUAGCGUUGUCCGGAAUCAUUGGGCGUAAAGCGCGCGUAGGCGGCCCGGUAAGUCCGCUGUAAAAGUCAAAGGCUCAACCUUUGAAUGCCGGUGGAUACUGUCGGGCUAGAGUCCGGAAGAGGCGAGUGGAAUUCCUGGUGUAGCGGUGGAAUGCGUAGAUAUCUGGAGGAACACCGGUGGCGAAGGCGGCGUUCUGGACUGCAACUGACACUGAGGAACGAAAGCCAGGGGAGCAAACGGG
rnacentral:rRNA from 1 species